CCUACGGGAGGCAGCAGUGGGGAAUAUUGGACAAUGGGGGCAACCCUGAUCCAGCAAUGCCGCGUGAGUGAUGAAGGCCUUCGGGUUGUAAAGCUCUUUCGGCGGGGAUGCGGUACCCGCAGAAGAAGCCCCGGCUAACUUCGUGCCAGCAGCCGCGGUAAUACGAAGGGGGCUAGCGUUGUUCGGAAUUACUGGGCGUAAAGGGCGCGUAGGCGGUGCUGUAAGUCAGGCGUGAAAUCCCCGGGCUCAACCUGGGAAUUGCGUUUGAUACUGCGGCGCUGGAAUGCGGGAGAGGAUGGCGGAAUUCCCAGUGUAGAGGUGAAAUUCGUAGAUAUUGGGAAGAACACCGGUGGCGAAGGCGGCCAUCUGGCCCGUAUUGACGCUGAGGCGCGAAAGCGUGGGGAGCAAACAGGAUUAGAUACCCUUGUAGUC
rnacentral:rRNA from 1 species